rnacentral:rRNA from 1 species
UAUGAUCCAGAGUACCACGGGACACGUGAAACCCUGUGGGAAGCAGGAGGGACCACCCUCCAAGGCUAAAUACUACCUAGUGACCGAUAGCGUAUAGUACCGUGAGGGAAAGGUGAAAAGAACCCCGGGAGGGGAGUGAAAUAGAACCUGAAACCCUGCACUUACAAGCUGUGGAAGCACAUUUCUUGUGUGACCGCGUACUUUUUGUAGAACGGGCCAACGAGUUACGUUAAGUAGCAAGGUUAAGCACUUAAGGUGCGGAGCCGUAGCGAAAGCGAGUUUUAACUGAGCGUUCAGUUACUUGACGUAGACCCGAAACCGGGCGACCUACCCAUGAGCAGGAUGAAGCGAAAGUAAAAUUUCGUGGAGGUCCGAACCCACGAGCGUUGAAAAGCUCGGGGAUGACUUGUGGGUAGCGGUGAAAUUCCAAUCGAGCCCGGAGAUAGCUGGUUCUCCCCGAAAUAGCUUUAGGGCUAGCCUCAAGGUGAGAGAUACGGAGGUAGAGCACUGAAUGUCCUAGGGGGUAUUGCACCUACCGAAGACUAUCAAACUCCGAAUGCCGUCAUCUUAUACUUGGGAGUCAGACUGUGGGUGAUAAGAUUCAUAGUCGAAAGGGCAACAGCCCAGAUCGUCAGCUAAGGUCCCUAAAUGUAAGUUAAGUGGUAAAGGAUGUGGGAUUGCACAGACAACCAGGAUGUUGGCUUAGAAGCAGCCACUCAUUCAAAGAGUGCGUAAUAGCUCACUGGUCGAGUGAUCCUGCGCCGAAGAUUUCCGGGGCUAAAACUUACUACCGAAGCUACGGCAUCAGUAAUGAUGGGUAGGGGAGCUUCCCAUACGGGUUGAAGCAUGACCGUAAGGACAUGUGGACAGUAUGGGAGUGAGAAUGUUGGCAUGAGUAGCGAGAUGUGGGUGAGAAUCCCACAGGCCGUAAACCCAAGGUUUCCAGGGGAAGGUUCGUCCGCCCUGGGUUAGUCGGGACCUAAGCUGAGGCCGAAAGGCGUAGG